rnacentral:lncRNA from 1 species
UUCGUGAAUGAGUGAAUCAGCUGAGGGAUAUUUAUGACUUUGGCUUGUGUCUCGGCUAUUGAGAGUGACUAUGUGUGAGUGAAGAAGUGGGAGCAGGGGCAGCCACAUGGGUCCAGCUCUGCAGCUGACCCACCAGCCAAUGCCAGAGGAGGGGACAGGAGGAGAGAGGAGGAGCAGAGUGGGUUGGACCAGGUCGACCCAGAAGUCUCAAAAGGCUGGAAAAUUUCAGGGCGUUUGUCAUCCCAGGGCCGCCUAGUGGGCAGGGAAGUCUUCCACUCUGUGAUCUCGGUCUCACUCAUACCGGAGCCUGCAGCGGCCCUGUUGCGGUCUCAGUCUUCAGCCCGACAUCAUGGGGGCGCCAAAGCACAGGGGCUCAAAAUGGUGAGGCCGGGGAACCGGGCGCUCCCAUCUCUGUCUACGUAGAUACCUAGUCAAACCGAAGGGGGAAGCUUCCUAGCAUCCUUAAGCCCUCCUUUCCAUCCGGUCUGCAUUUCCACUUUUCAUUGCAAUCUGCUUCUCUUCUGCACCGCCCCCUCUCCUCCCCCACCCUUCUCCCGUCCCUUUUCCUCCCCACCCCACCCCUGCCCCCGCUUCUUUCUCCUCUUCUUUCUUCCUCUCUACCCUCUGGCCUGGGGACACCGGUGCUGGAGAAGACCCUGGGAACGGGCAGAAUCUGAGCCGCGUCUCUGAGUCGCAGUGGGAAGGCGGCUCAGGAAAUGCGCCCUCCGCUGGCGCUGGGUCGCGGUUCUGGCUGCGUUACUUUUUCCUUGCAUCUGUGGCCCGGCGCGCCAGCCUGGACACUAGAUCCGCAAGAAGGGAGUUUUCCCAGGGCCGGCUGAAGAAUGAGAAGUCCGAGCUGCGGGGACGUUGGGGGUCUGUGCUUAGCGGCCACAGCCUGCCCACCACGGGUUCCCGCCACCCCGCCUCCCCACCUCCCUUCGCGCCAGGGCUGAAAGUCCCAGGCGCCCAAUGCGUGCCCAAGAACGAGCCGUGAACCUUUUAUCUACCCGUCCCCUUCCCCGCCAUGGACCCAGGACGACACCCCACACCCAGACACCACUCUUUCCAGGGGCAGAUGCUCCGGCGCGCCCCGCGCCCUGAAGUUCAACUUGGAAUCCAGGUCCGCGCGGGACCCCGCCUAGCGCCCCAAGCGCACAGGCUGAGCGCCCCGCCCUGGCCUCCUGGGCCUGCGGCCUCAGCGCGAGAGCCCUGGCCCCCUUCCCGCCGCGGGUCGCGGUCGGGAAAGCGCGCCCUGCAAGGGGGUUUUGUAGAUAAACAAAAGCGUUUGCUCUUCUGGUUUUCUUUUAUUUUCUUUAUUCGCCUGUCCCUUCCUUCUUAAUCUCCCUCUUCGCUCUUGUUUCUUUAACUUAUUUCCCUUCCUCAUUUUCCCUUUCUUUUCGUUCGCUUUUCCUUGUCACUCUCCUUCUUGUUCUCUUCUGUCUCUUUCUGUAUCUCCCUCUUCCAUUUUGGCCCCUUCUCUGCCUCUGGGUUUCCCUUUCCCGGGCCCCUCACUCUUCCUGGGCUAGGAUUGCGCCGUCUCCCUGCAUCAUUUUUCCUGGCUCCGCUGCCUCUUUCUCACUUUUUCGUUCUCCCGGCGGCCACCGUCUGGCGGGCUUGGGUCCGGCUCCCCCGCCGCCGCAGUGAUUUAUUCGCUUCACCCGGCGGAAUCAGUGGACUCAGAUUAGCACGCAAACAGUGAGAUGCUCGGCUUGAGUCUACGCGCGGGCGAAGAUGCCUCUGUCGCCUCAAACAGUGUCCUUCGCGACGGCGGAAAACUACAGCCCGCCCCCGCUCCCGUGCCUGCUCAGGAAGCCGUGACCAAGCCAGUGCCCGCCGGUGCCCGGAGUGAAGGUGGAAAAAGCCGAGUGCUCCUGCUCGGGGGCGGGGUUGAGAGGGGGAGAUUAAUCCGGGCAAGCCAAGGGGACCUUAGACUUGCAGCCAGGGCCGCCACCCGAGGAGCCCGCAUGCAGGGACGCGCCUGAAGGCUUAGUCAAACCCGGGGAAAUGCCCUCCCCCGCCUGCAGAAUCCCCACGCCGUCUCUUACUUCCUCCCUCUUUGCCACUGGCGAGCUUACACGUGCACACACACACACCCCUCUCUGUCUGUGACCGCAACAAACUUUGUGAAACUUGAACCGCUGGGUGCAAAGUUCACGCCCUUUUCUCCUUUCCUCUCUUGCCUGGGCCGGCUCCUCCUGGAGCAGGGAGGGAAGAAGUUCUUGGCCUCCAGACCUGGGAGAGGAGUUUCCGAAAGUCAGGGCCUCGCCUCGCUGUGACAUUAGACCCUUGCCACCCACCAGACCGAUGGACACUAAACACUUUCCUUGUCGGAAGGCGCUAGUAGUUGCAGCGGCCAGGCUUGGCAGGGCCCUGGUCGACCACCCCACCACUGCCCUGGCCGGACUUUCCCAGGGCGUUGGUCUCCUGGUCCCUAUUAAGUCGGGGCUGUCCUGGGCUUGGAGCCCAGGUUCAGGGCUGUCAGCCCCUUGCCAGCUGUCUGAGCUCUCUGCCUUUCUAGUUUAUUUUCCCCCAGCUCUUGCCCUGGGUUAGCUCUCUCCCAGCCCUCCACUCUGUCUCUGUCUCCGACUCCAUCUCUGGCAGGGCUGCCACUGUCUCUCUGUCUCUCUGUCUCUCCCUGUCUCUCUGUCUCUGUCUCUCUUGUUUGUUUCAAGGCGCGGACACUGAUUGUGCCUUAUGAAGUUCUAACUGGUUUUGUGUCAGGAAGAUCUUUCUCGCCGCUACCCAGCCUGGCGUGACGGAUUAAACAUCAACUAGUUAAAUAAAAAUUAAUAUCAACUGCCUCCUAACUUCUAAUGUCAUGUUGUUUAUAACUAAUGAACUGAUUAGGGGAUAAACAUAUCACGAAGACAUUCCACUCUCCUGCCUCGGCUCCGCUGCCGCCUGGUACCCACUCCCCAGCAUGGCCUGCGGGUUGCCAGGCCAGAAGGAGUUGGGGGAGGGGGUUGCUGGAGGCGGAACAGGCUGGAGGGCCUGAGGGCUCCCUGGGGCUUGCUCCUCUUCCUGCCUUGAUCUCUUUACUCCCUUUCUCUCUUGUCUUUCCUUCUCAUUUCCUUCCUCUGUACAUUUCCUCUUCUCAGUCUCUCUUGUUCCCUUCUUUCCUUAUUUCUGUCUCCCUCUCUCCUUUUUUCCUCCUUUCCUCCCAUCCAUUCCUGUCCUCCUCUGCCCUGUGCUUCUCCGCCUCUGUCUCUGGUAGUGUUUCUCUCUCUCUGCCAGUCUGGGCCCUGAACCCUUCCCUCUCUGGUUCUCCUCUCUUCCUCCCUCUAUUGGAGUUUCUGCCUCUCUCUUCCCCCUUGUUCCCCAUCAUUCGGAUUCAUUCCUCCCUAGCCAGUGCAAAGCAUAAUGAUGACCAGUCCUUGUGACUAGGCCUCUGCCCUGCUACAAAGCAGGAGGCUGCAACCUCUCCCUCAGCACCUUGGUGGAGACUGAUGCUCCUCCCUGCUCCCCAGCUAUUUAGGGGAGAAGGGAAGGAACUAGAAGACGUGAGGGUCCUGUUUUUUAUUUCUCCUCUAUUUGAUCUGGAACAGGAGUGAGGAAAUAAAAAAUGAUUUUUUGAAAACUUUUGCUUUUCAUCUUGUCCCAGA